AUAUUUUCUUUUACAACAUAGGUUAUUUGCAGCUUGACUAGACGGUUCUCCACAUCAGUGAGGACUAAGGCUACAAAUCGUGUUUAUAACCAACAGAAACAUUUCCAGGCAAAUAAAGACAUACCAGUUCAUCUGCGAGGGGGCAGUAUGGAUGUACUCCUUUAUCGUCUUACAAUGGGUGGCACCGUCUUUGGGGUUGGCUGGACAUUAUAUGCACUAUGGAAAGCCUCAUUCCCACAGACUCCAGCUGAAUAGUUACAACACAGUACUCAAGUGUAGUUUACUGUAUUUGUGUGUUUUACCUUGUAUUAAAUCCAAUGUAUUUAUCUGAUUAUACAAUAAUGGUUUCUUGGGUGUGUGUGAUACUUACAUUCUAACUAGGUACAUUACCAUUGUAUAAUGCUUUGCAUUCUGGAAUAAAACUCUAAUUGUUGUUACAUGA